ensembl:snoRNA SNORD115 Small nucleolar RNA SNORD115
GGGUAUGUGAUGACAAACCAAAGUUACAAAGAGAGUUGAUGACAUAAAAUUCAUGCUCAAUAGGAUUAUGCUGAGGCCC